AAACUAACCUUGAGAGAAACAGGAGGAGCAGCUUAGCGAGCUGCUUGUAGCCUUCUAGUGCAUUCAACGCCUGGGAAAGGGGAAGCCCCCUGUUAACAGGUCCUGGAGUCUCGCCCCGCAAGGGGAGGGCUAGUUGGAGCGCAACACCACCUGGUUCGAGGAAGGCCCUUUAGGGACACCUGAGUUUGGCUAUAAACGAGGGUGGAACCUGCUUGAGGGGGUUGAUCUCGAUGCGAAGCAGGGUAGCGCCUGCUCGCGGUAACGUGCGGUAAGGGGUGGGUCUGGCUGCAAAGCUGGGCCUAAGGAACGUACUAUUCCAACACGAGACCCCGGCCAGGGUCGAAGUGUGCUCGGUGGGUGAGAGCUGUUUCUCAAGCCUGCUGGGGGGUCGUCUCGGGGGGAAGAUCACAUAUCCCUGAGAUAAUGGCCUGGUUGUGAUGGUUUUGGCGGAAGUAGGUAACCCUGCUUUCUUCAAAGCCAAAG
rnacentral:ribozyme from 1 species